GAUGAACGCUAGCGGAAGGCUUAAUACAUGCAAGUCGAGCGGUAGUCCCUUUCGGGGGAUGAGAGCGGCGCACGGGUGAGUAACGCGUACAUGACCUGCCUAUCAGAAGGGGAUAGCCCUGGGAAACUGGGAUUAAUACCCUAUGGCAUUGUAUUUUUAAAUGGAUACAAUUAAAGCUGAGGCGCUGAUAGAUGGAUGUGCGUCUGAUUAGCUAGUUGGUGGGGUAAAGGCCCACCAAGGCGACGAUCAGUAGGGGGCGUGAGAGCGUGGUCCCCCACACGGGUACUGAGACACGGACCCGACUCCUACGGGAGGCAGCAGUAAGGAAUAUUGGUCAAUGCCCGCAAGGGUGAACCAGCCAUUCCGCGUGGAGGAUGAAGGCCCUAUGGGUUGUAAACUUCUUUUAGAUGGGAAGAAAAUGCUUUGUUUAUAAGGUACUGACGGUACCAUCAGAAUAAGCACCGGCUAACUCCGUGCCAGCAGCCGCAGUAA
rnacentral:rRNA from 1 species